rnacentral:rRNA from 1 species
UACGUAGGGCGCAAGCGUUUGUCCGGAAUUAUUGGGCGUAAAGAGCUCGUAGGCGGUUUGUCGCGUCUGCUGUGAAAUCCCACGGCUCAACCGUGGAACUGCUCGGUAUACUGCUUUUCUUGAGCCACUUAGGGGCUGUCGGAACAAACGGUGGAGCGGUGAAUGCGUAGAUAUCGUUUGGAACGCCAACGGUGAAGACAGACAGCUGGGAGUGUGCUGACGCUGGAGACACGAAGCCAGGGGAGCGAACGGG